rnacentral:rRNA from 1 species
UACGUAGGGAGCAAGCGUUGUCCGGAAUCAUUGGGCGUAAAGGGCGCGUAGGCGGCCUGAUAAGUAGGGGGUGAAAUCUUGCGGCUUAACCGCAAGGCUGCCUUCUAAACUGUCAGGCUCGAGCACAGUAGAGGCAGGUGGAAUUCCCGGUGUAGCGGUGGAAUGCGUAGAGAUCGGGAAGAACAUCAGUGGCGAAGGCGGCCUGCUGGGCUGUUGCUGACGCUGAGGCGCGACAGCGUGGGGAGCAAACAGG